rnacentral:rRNA from 1 species
CCCUUAGAUGUUCUGGGCAGCACGCGCGCUACAAUGGUCUUCGCAAACGGAUGCAUUCUCGAAGGAGAAUGCCAAUCUUGGAAUCUAUGCCUUGGUCGGGACAGUUGCUUGCAAUUUUUCGACUCGAACCAGGAAUUCCUUGUAAUCGUGAUUCAUCACAUCACGAUGAAUACGUCCCUGCCCUUUGUACACACCGCCCGUCGCUCCUACCGAUCGAAGAGUGAGGUGAAUUGUUUUGAUCGAUAAGAUUUGACUAUGGUCAACUCUCGUUGUGAAAUUCUGUGAAUCUGACUGUUUAGAGGAAGGAAAAGUCGUAACA